UACGAAGGGGGGCUAGCGUUGCUCGGAAUCACUGGGCGUAAAGCGCACGUAGGCGGCUUUCUAAGUCAGGGGUGAAAUCCUGGAGCUCAACUCCAGAACUGCCUUUGAUACUGGAGAGCUUGAGUCCGGAAGAGGUGAGUGGAACUCCGAGUGUAGAGGUGAAAUGCGCAGAUAUCAGGAAGAACACCAAUGGCGAAGGCAGCUCUCUGGGACGGUACUGACGCUGAGACGCGAAAGCGUGGGGGAGCAAACAGG
rnacentral:rRNA from 1 species